CCCUUAGAUGUUCUGGGCUGCACGCGCGCUACACUGACGCACGCAACAGGUGCCUGCUCCGAGAGGACUGGGUAAUCAUUUGAGUGUGCGUCGUGAUGGGGAUAGAAUAUUGUAAUUAUUACUCUUCAACGAGGAAUUCCUAGUAAGCGCCAGUCAGCAGCUUGCGCUGAUUACGUCCCUGCCCUUUGUACACACCGCCCGUCGCUCCUACCGAUGGGUGAUCCGGUGAAUGAUUCGGACUUCAGCGGCUCCCCUGGGGUGCGCCGGAGAAAGUUUUGUGAACCUUAUCACCUGGAGGAAGGAGAAGUCGUAACA
rnacentral:rRNA from 1 species